rnacentral:misc_RNA from 1 species
CCGAGUUUACCAACUCCCAAACCCCGUGUGAACGUACCGUUUCCCGUUGCUUCGGCGGUGCCGCCCCGGGGGCGCGGGGACUCUCGGCAGAGAGGCCCAGCACCCCCCGGACCCAGGCGCCCGCCGGAGGACCCCCAAAACCUCCUGUAUUACACAGCGGCUUCUUCUGAGUUGCGCUCCCGCGAGCGGGACAAGCAAAAUGAAUCA